UGGCUAGGAACGGGUGUCGGUUUCCGUAAGGAAAUAACAGGGAAUUCGGCGCUGCCCCUCAUUGGCCGCGAAACGAAACUGCCCCCGCAACUGUAGGCGGUGAGUCCAUCUCGAUCAUGCCACUGGGAUUAGCCCCCGGGAAGGCCGAGACGGACGAUGACCCGUCAGUCAGGAGACCUACCGACACCCGUAACUGAAC
rnacentral:ncRNA from 2 species